rnacentral:rRNA from 1 species
UACGUAGGGCGCAAGCGUUGUCCGGAAUUAUUGGGCGUAAAGAGCUCGUAGGCGGCCUGUUACGUCUGCUGUGAAAUCCCGGGGCUUAACCCCGGGCGUGACAGUGGAUACGGGCAGGCUGGAGGCAGGCAGGGGAGAACGGAAUUCCCGGUGGUAGGCGGUGAAAUGCGCAGAGUAUACGGGCGAGGAACACCGGUGGCGAAGGCGGUUCUCUGGGCCGUGUACUGACGCUGAGGAGCGAAAGCGUGGGAGCGAACAGG